rnacentral:rRNA from 1 species
GAUGAACGCUAGCGGGAGGCUUAACACAUGCAAGUCGAGCGGGAUUAGCAGCAAUGCUAUGAGAGCGGCGCACGGGUGCGUAACGCGUAUGCAACCUGCCUUAGUACAGGGGAAUAGCCCAUGGAAACGUGGAUUAAUGUCCCAUAGGAUUACGGAUUCGCAUGGAUUUGUGAUUAAAACCGAGGUGGUAUAAGAUGGGCAUGCGUCUGAUUAGGUAGUUGGUAGGGUAAUGGCCUACCAAGCCGACGAUCAGUAGGGGUUCUGAGAGGAUUACCCCCCACACUGGUACUGAGACACGGACCAGACUCCUACGGGAGGCAGCAGUGAGGAAUAUUGGUCAAUGGCCGGAAGGCUGAACCAGCCAUCCCGCGUGCAGGAUGACGGCCCUAUGGGUUGUAAACUGCUUUUGUACCUGAAGAAACCUGUUUACGAGUAGACAGUUGCCGGUAAGGUAUGAAUAAGCAUCGGCUAACUCCGUG